GAUGAACGCUAGCUACAGGCUUAACACAUGCAAGUCGAGGGGCAGCAUGAACUUAGCUUGCUAAGUUUGAUGGCGACCGGCGCACGGGUGAGUAACACGUAUCCAACCUUCCGUUUACUCAGGGAUAGCCUUUCGAAAGAAAGAUUAAUACCUGAUAGUAUGGUGAGAUUGCAUGAUAACACCAUUAAAGAUUUAUUGGUAAACGAUGGGGAUGCGUUCCAUUAGGUAGUAGGCGGGGUAACGGCCCACCUAGCCUGCGAUGGAUAGGGGUUCUGAGAGGAAGGUCCCCCACAUUGGAACUGAGACACGGUCCAAACUCCUACGGGAGGCAGCAGUGAGGAAUAUUGGUCAAUGGGCGAGAGCCUGAACCAGCCAAGUAGCGUGAAGGAUGAAGGUCCUACGGAUUGUAAACUUCUUUUAUACGGGAAUAAAACCUCCACGUGUGGGAGCUUGUAUGUACCUUAUGAAUAAGCAUCGGCUAACUCCGUGCCAGCAGCCGCGGU
rnacentral:rRNA from 1 species